rnacentral:rRNA from 1 species
UACAGAGGUCCCAAGCGUUGUUCGGAUUCACUGGGCGUAAAGAGCUCGUAGGCGGUGUGUCGCGUCGGCCGUGAAAACCUGCAGCUUAACUGUGGGCUUGUGGUCGAUACGGGCAUCACUGGAGUUCGGCAGGGGAGACUGGAAUUCCUGGUGUAGCGGUGAAAUGCGCAGAUAUCAGGAGGAAUACCGGUGGCGAAAGCGACUCUCUGGACGGCAACUGACGCUGAGGCACGAAAGCGUGGGGAGCAAACAGG